rnacentral:rRNA from 1 species
AGCGAACGCUGGCGGCAGGCCUAACACAUGCAAGUCGAACGAACUCUUCGGUGUUAGUGGCGGACGGGUGAUUACCACGUGGGAACGAGCCUUUUGGUUCGGUACAAUUCAGUGAAACUUGUGCUAAUACCGAUUGUGCUCUUCGGGGGUAGGAUUUAUCGAUAUUAGAGCGGCCCGCGUCUGAUUAGCUAGUUGGUGAGGUAACGGCCUAUCAGGGCGACGAUCGGUAGCUGGGCUGGGAGGAUGACGAGCCAAACUGGGACUGAGACACGGUCCAGCCUGCGGCGGGAGGGAGCAGUGUGGAAUCUUGCGCAAUGGGCGAAAGCAGGAAGGAGCCGUGCCGCGUGAAUGAUGAAGGUCUUAGGAUUGUAAAAUUCUUUCACCGGGGACGAUAAUGACGGUACCCGGAGAAGAAGCCCCGGCUAACUUCGUG